AUAGCGAACCCUAUGAUAGUUUUCCAUAGAUUCACCUGCAAGUUACCUGUCGAUUUAAACUUUUGGCAGUUCUAUUGUCCCAUCUAACAAAUACAACAGGUAUUGUUCUCUGUGUAGUUUAUUCACUGGGACCUUUAAAUUUCUUCUAGGAGAAAUAUAUCACUCAUUGAUUAAUUUACCUGAACAAAAAAUUGAACUGUCAAUGAUGAAAAAAUACUUAUACCAAUACUAAGAAAGGACUCACAAAACUGCAUGUGGUGUUGUAUUUAUUCAAAACCAAAAACUUGUUUUUAAUGUGUUCAAUAUUAAU
rnacentral:lncRNA from 1 species